CCGGGGAGGGUGGAAAUCUCAGGGUUUCUCCUGCAAACCCUCCUGUCCCCCCCCCCCACAGCUGCCCGGGACCUGGCUGUACGUGGCAGGGGCUGCCCAGUUCCCCCAGCACCAGGUGGAGAUGCUGCUCAUCGACCACGCCUUGCUGCGCCUGGAGCCGGGGCCCGGCGGGCAGGAGCUGCUCAUCAGCCACUUUGUGGCCGUCGGGGACCAAUGUUAUACCCACAACCUGACCUACCUGGAGGUCACUGCCGGUAACGCCUCCCUGGUGAAGAACGGAGGUGUGUCAAGUGAAAGCAGCCGAAGGCAGCAGCAGCCCCCACCCAGAGCCCGGGGCUGCAGCCACAGCAUCCCCUGCCCCAGGCACCCCCCGGCCUGGCAGUGCAGGGAACUGACCCACACAGGCCAAUAAACCUUUCCUUCAAAGUAAACACUGUUUGGUGUCAAUUGUUUGAGAGAAAAGGGUUCUGAAGAUUUGCAAAAAGAGAGCAAACAGCCAAUUCACCUUGUGUGUCAUCCAGCCCUGAGCUGGGAGAG
rnacentral:lncRNA from 1 species